CACGUCUGUGAUGUUUUCCUCCUGUUUGAGCUCACGGCUGUGAAACGGCUUUACAUGCACUACCAUCUGAGACGUG
rnacentral:snoRNA from 1 species